rnacentral:rRNA from 1 species
AACGAACGCUGGCGGCAUGCCUAACACAUGCAAGUCGAACGAGACCUUCGGGUCUAGUGGCGCACGGGUGCGUAACGCGUGGGAACCUGCCCUUAGGUUCGGAAUAACUCCCCGAAAGGGGUGCUAAUACCGGAUAAUGUCUUCGGACCAAAGAUUUAUCGCCUUUGGAUGGGCCCGCGUUGGAUUAGCUAGUUGGUAGGGUAAAAGCCUACCAAGGCGACGAUCCAUAGCUGGUCUGAGAGGAUGAUCAGCCACACUGGGACUGAGACACGGCCCAGAUUCCUACGGGAGGCAGCAGUGGGGAAUAUUGGACAAUGGGCGAAAGCCUGAUCCAGCAAUGCCGCGUGAGUGAUGAAGGCCUUAGGGUUGUAAAGCUCUUUUAACCGGGAUGAUAAUGACAGUACCGGGAGAAUAAGCUCCGGCUAACUCCGUG